ACUGCAUCAUAAUGCGCUGGCGGGUGAAGCAACGAUGUCACACACCAGCUAAACUGAAGGUUUACACUCAGUAAUGUGCAAAUUCAGCUCCCUGAUUGAACAUCUAGCAAAAAGAGAAGGGGGCAAAAAAAAAAUCAAUGGAGCACCUAAAUGGACGAGACCCUGUGUGAAGCAGUCAAGACAGAAUCACCGGAAGACAGUGGCAAUGAGGGAAAAGAAGGCUAUCGUGAGGAUGAAAUGGACUCCAGCCCUGAUCCUUCCAAUGGCAUGGAGGUCGAACAGCCUGAACCAACUGCCUCAAAGGAAGGGGCUCCCGCUCGAGAAACGGCCCAGAGAACAUUUCUAGAUUUUGUUUUUGGAGAUCUUCCUCCAAAGUCACUGAUCAAGAUCAAACCCUUCUUUCCAAAACCACCACUACCUCAGCGAAGACCACAAACAAAGCCGCCGUUCUUUGUCACUGAAACUUGUGACACUCCUGAAAACAGAAGACAGGAACCCAUCACAGAUGCUCUGAAAAACACAGAGAAGAAAGACCAUCUGAAGAAACAUUUUGUUCGGAUCGGGGGCAUGUUGGUUUUGCCAGUACCUGUAGAUGGUCCACUCUUCACCGAUGAGGAAAAAUGAAUGUGGACCAUGGGAUUGCAGAGGAGAGCAAGAUCUCGCAGCUGGAAACGUGCUACUAUGUUUUAGAUAAUAAAGUCACAGACUGGCGAUGACUCUCCA
rnacentral:lncRNA from 1 species